rnacentral:tRNA from 1 species
UGUGGCAGAAUAGUGCAAUAAAUUUAAGAUUUAUAUAUAAAGUUACCUUUCCUUAGAA